rnacentral:rRNA from 1 species
AUUGAACGCUGGCGGCAUGCCUUACACAUGCAAGUCGAACGGUAACGGGCCUUCGGGUGCCGACGAGUGGCGAACGGGUGAGUAAUAUAUCGGAACGUACCUUUCAGUGGGGGAUAACGUAGCGAAAGUUACGCUAAUACCGCAUAUUCUGUGCGCAGGAAAGCAGGGGACCUUCGGGCCUUGCGCUGAUUGAGCGGCCGAUAGGAGAUUAGCUAGUUGGUGAGGUAAAGGCUCACCAAGGCGACGAUCUGUAGCGGUUCUGAGAGGAUGAUCCGCCACACUGGAACUGAGACACGGUCCAGACUCCUACGGGAGGCAGCAGUGGGGAAUUUUGGACAAUGGGGGCAACCCUGAUCCAGCCAUGCCGCGUGAGUGAAGAAGGCCUUCGGGUUGUAAAGCUCUUUCGGCCGGGAAGAAAUCGUAUGGGCUAAUACCCUGUGCGGAUGACGGUACCGGCAUAAGAAGCACCGGCUAACUACGUGCCAGCAGCCGCCGCCGUAA